CCGGACGAGCAUCUCGCUCUCUCUCUGCAUUUCCCUCCACCGACGGAACCAAUGAGGGCAGGGCAGCAGCCGUGGGACCAGGACGCAGCGGCCAGUGUAGCUCUACCACCUGCCAGCGGACGCCAGCAGACGCUUUCCCCCCAAAAUAUAGGGAAGAAAGAAAAGUCCAGAUAACCGACGAGGAAUGACAGGACGCCAGUAGGCUGAGAACGCUAUUCUCUCCUGAGCGCAGGCUUGUGAGUACCAGAGGG